rnacentral:rRNA from 1 species
CCUACGGGAGGCAGCAGUGGGGAAUAUUGCACAAUGGGCGAAAGCCUGAUGCAGCUACGCCGCGUGGGUGAUGAAGGUCUUCGGAUUGUAAAGCCCUGUCGGGAGGGAAGAAGCUCUGACGGUACCUCCCAAGAAAGCACCGGCUAACUCCGUGCCAGCAGCCGCGGUAAUAAUCAC